CCUACGGGUGGCAGCAGUGGGGGAUAUUGCACAAUGGGGGAAACCCUGAUGCAGCGACGCCGCGUGUGGGAAGACGGUCCUCUGGAUUGUAAACUACUUUCCCCAGGGACGAAAAUGACGGUACCUGGGGUGGAAGCUCCGGCUAACUACGUGCCAGCAGCCGCGGUAAUACGGUGGGAGCGAGCGUUGUCCGGAAUUACUGGGUGUAAAGGGAGCGUAGGCGGGGAUGAAAGUUGGGUGUCAAAACUACCGGCUCAACUGGGAGUCGCACGCAAAACUGCAGCUCUGGAGUGAAGGAGAGGCAGGCAGAAUUCCUAGUGUAGCGGUGAAAUGCGUAGAUAUUAGGAGGAACACCAGUGGCGAAGGCGGCCUGCUGGGCUGUUACUGACGCUGAGGCUCGAAAGUGUGGGGAGCAAACAGGAUUAGAUACCCCAGUAGUC
rnacentral:rRNA from 1 species